UGGAGUGUUACGCACGAAGUCAGAGACGCCACACAAAGUGUGACACAAGUCAAAGAUGCAAUUGGGAGUGUUACAUAUGAUGUCAGAGCCAGCAGGUGGAGUUUUAGACACGACUUCAGAGAUGCUAAGGUGAGUGUUACACACAUACUCAGAGAACAAUGUGGAUGGUUACACACAAAGUCUGAGAUGCCAGACGGUGUGUGACACACGAUGUCAGAAACAUCAGGGGUUGUGUUACACGGGGAUUCAGAGACACCAGGAAGUGGUUGACACACGAAGUCUGAGACACCCAUGAGGAGUGUUAUGAACAAAGUUAGAGACAAGAGGGGGAAUCCUAUACAUGAAGUCUGAGACAUCAGUUGGAGGGUAACACACGAAUUUAUAGAUGGCAGAGGGAAUGUGAUGCAAGAGCUCAGAGACACCAGAUGAAGUGUGACACAAGAAGUCAGAGACACCAUGGGGAUUCUGAUACGUGAUGUCAGGUGCACCAGGUGGAGUGUGACACAUGAAGUCAGAGAUGACAAGUGGAGGGUUACACACGAAUUCAUAAGCACCAAGAGGAGUUACACAUGAAGGUGCAGAUGCCACAUGGAGUGUUAAACACGAAAUAAGAGAGACCAGAUGUAGUGAUACAGACGAAGUCAGAUAUGCCAGGGCUAGUGUUACACACGAGCUCAGACACAUAAGGGGGAUUAUUAUAAACACAGUCUGAGACACAAAGGGGAGUGUGACACACUAAUUCACAAAUACCAGGGGUAGUAUUACACAGGUAGCCAGAGACACAAGGGUGUGUCUGACAGGUGAAUCCAGAGAUGCCAUGGGCAGUGUGACAUAUGAAGUCAGAAGUGCCAUGGUGAGUGUUACACUCAGAGUCAGAGAAGCCAGUGGGAGUCUGACACAAGAAUUCAGAGAUGCCAAUGUGAGUGUCAUAAAAGAAGUCUGAGACACCACAGAGGAGUGUUACACUCAAAGGCAGAUAGGCUGCAUGAAAUAUCACACGUGAAGUCAGAGAUAAAAGAUGGCGUGUACCACAGCAAGUCUGAGAUGCCAGGGGAACUGUGACAUACGAAGUCAGAGAGCCUAGAGGGAGUGUUACACACCAAAUGAGAGACUCUAGGUAUAAUGUGACCCAUGGAGUCAGAGAUGACAUGGGGAUUGCUACACACGAAGUGCGAGAUGACAGAGGGAGUCUGACACACAAAGUCAGAAAUGCCAAGAGUAGUGUUACACAGGAAGUCAAAGACACCAGGCUGUGUGUGACAAUGUCAGAUAUGCCACGGGGAGAGUGACACAUGAAGCCAUAGAAACAAGGGGAAGUGUUACACAAGAAGUCAGAAGCACUACAAGGUGUGCUACACACAAUGUCAGAGAACCAGAGGGAGUGGGACACACAAAGUUAGAGACACCAGGCAGAUUGUGAAACAAGAUGACAGAGACUCCAUGGUGAGUGUUACACAAGAAGUCCAAGGCAUCAUGGGAGAUUCUCACACUCAAACUCAGGAAUGUCACAUGGACUGUUACACAUGAAGUCACAGACACGAGGGUGAGUGUACCACAUGAUGUCAGAGAUGACAAGUGAAGCAUUACACACAAAGUUACAGAUGGCAGUGGGAGAGUGAUGCACGUAUCUGAGACACAUGGGAGAGUGACACCCAUAGUCAGGGAUGCAAGGCAAGUAUGACAAAUGAAGUCAGAGAGGUGUAGGGGAAGAAGACAUUUCCUCUUCCCAAAUGUGGGUUGUGGGUUCGUCUGGCCGGAGGAUGAAUCAAAUUCACAUGAGACAGAAUAGCAAGAGAAAAUUAAACAAAGCUUUAUGAAGAACCAUGGCCUGGGGCCUUUCUUCCCGAAGGAAGAAAGGGCACCAAAGAAGUGGGGUGCACAUAGUGGUUAUAUACCCCCAAACAGGUGUUUCACAUGUGAUUGAAAUGUCCCUCCCACAAUAGUCACAAGAUUGCCCUGUCGCAACAGUGCUUGAUGGACACAGCAGGUAAUGGUCUGCUAUCUCGGUGGGCGUAGCAGGAGGCAAGUCUAUUGUCUGGAGCUGGGCGGUCACAGGUGAGCCCAGCAAUCAGUUCCUAGCCUAAGGAAAGAUGCUUAAUCCUUAAAGAAAUGCCAACGUUGGGAGGGGGAGGGAAGUCAGUUACAGGAGGAAGUCAGUUACCAGACAAGCACAAUAAAAUGCAGAUUUUAAGUCCUUGCCUUUGGUAUUGAUUAAGAGUCUUUAGAGAGAAGGUCAUCUCCUUUCUUCUUCCUGGUACAGAGAGGCAGGCAACUUUUACAGAUAGAGAUUUACCUUACAAAUGUAAAUGUGUGCUAACAAAGGGCAAGUUCCAUUCCUCAGAGCCUCCUUCCCUGUCCCACUUUAUCAAAAGCAAUCAGCCUCAAAUAAUCCUGAUGCCAAAGAGACAUAUCUUGUGGUGGCCAUUUCCAGGUCCCCACAUUGGUUAAGAAAGAUAAAUUUGUCCUACUGUACUAGAAGGGAAGAAAGAAAGCAUGGGACAAAUUCUGAAGGCAAAAAGAAAGUUAUAGGUUUGUGAAAGAAAUUCUGAAAAGAGUUUUGUACCUGGUCAAGUUGGUUAAGAUUGAAAUGAAUCUAAUUAAGUAAAUGCGUUUUAAUAUGAAAAAAGUAAACUGGUACAAAAAUUAGAAUUUGGCUCUCUCUCUUGAAAGGAUAAUUUUCUUAAACUCUUAGUCUGCUCUUGAUAAUGAGAUUAUAAAAGGUUUUUCCUUCUGAGUAAGUUUACAAAAGAUCUAUGUUUUGUUGUAUCUAUGUUUAUGUUUCCUAGGUGCAAAAAGACAGAGGUCUCUCUAUUAAGGUUUUUUUUCUGCUGUUGAUACCUAAGCAUUGUUUCACAGUGAGCAUUGUUUAAAUAAGUGUUUUAAAAACCUUUUGAUAUUUUUGACAAGCUUUUCUCUCAAAAAAAAAAAUAUUCAAGUCCUAAAUAAAGGUUUUCCUUCGACCUGAAUGAAGGAAGAGAGUUUCUCUGAGGAUUGUCAGAGGGCCCCUGAGACUUCACAGAGAAAAUUUGCUCUCUCAUCCUAUAAGGUGGAAGAUUCUAAACUAAUUAGGCUUAUUUUGUCUGUUAAAUUUCAUUGGAAGCAUUGUCAGAUGAGCGAUGAUAAUCUUUCUUAAGUGGUAUUAUAUGGGUAAAUGUUACUGAUAUAAGUGUUUUGAAAACUAUAUAACAUUCCUAAAAUUCUGAUCUGUCCUGGCUAUCAGCCGUAACUCUAAAUAUUAUUUUAAGGUGGUGUAUAUCAGAAAUAAUAAGUUUCUCUGUCAAUUGUCA
ensembl:lncRNA